UACUUGUUAAGCCUUUAAGAGAAAAGUUUACAACUUAAGGAAUUAUAACAAAGAAGUAACACAUAAUAAGUUUACCUUAUUUAGUGUGUAUCAAUCGAGUUUCUGACCUAUCAGCUUUUGAUGUUAGGGUAUUGGCCUAACAUGGCUAUGACGGGUAACGGGGAAUUAGAGUUCGAUUCCGGAGAGGGAGCCUGAGAAAUAGCUACCACAUCUAAGGAAGGCAGCAGGCGCGUAAAUUACCCAAUUCUAAAGAAGAGAGGUAGUGACAAGAAAUAACAAUACAAGGCCAUUUCAUGGUUUUGUAAUUGGAAUGAUGGGAAUUUAAAACCUUCCCAAAAUUCAAUUGGAGGGCAAGUCUGGUGCCAGCAGCCGCGGUAAUUCCAGCUCCAAUAGCGUAUAUUAAAAUUGUUGCAGUUAAAACGCUCGUAGUUGAAUUUCAAAGAAUCAAUAUUUUAACUAAUGCUUUUGGUUUAAGGUGCUUAGGCAAUACAACGUAUCUGCUCUUUGCAUUCCUUAUCCAAAAUGCGUUCUUAUUAUAAAAAGGAUUCUUUUUAAAAUCUCCUAUACUUUCUUGUACUGGAGAUUUUGUUACUUUGAGUAAAUUAGAGUGUUCAAAGCAAACAGUUAAAGCAUUUUACUGCGUUUGAAUACUACAGCAUGGAAUAACAAAAUUGAACAAGUCAAAACUCUGUUCCUUUUUCUUAUUUUGGCUUAGUUACGAUUAAUAGGAGUAGCUUGGGGGCAUUUGUAUUCAGAUGUCAGAGGUGAAAUUCUUAGAUUUUCUGGAGACAAACAACUGCGAAAGCAUUUGCCUAAAAUACUUCCAUUAAUCAAGAACGAAAGUUAAGGGAGUGAAGACGAUCAGAUACCGUCGUAAUCUUAACCAUAAACUAUGCCGACUAGGUUUUGGAUGAAAGAUUUUUAAAUAAGAAAAUUCCUUUUGGAAAUUUCUUAGAUUGCUUCCUUCAGUACCUUAUGAGAAAUCAAAGUCUUUGGGUUCUGGGGCGAGUAUUCGCGCAAGCGAGAAAGUUAAAAGAAUUGACGGAAGGGCACCACCAGGCGUGGAGCUUGCGGCUUAAUUUGACUCAACACGGGGAAACUCACUAGUUUAAGACAAGAGUAGGAUUGACAGAUUAAUAGCUCUUUCUUGAUUUCUUGGAUGGUGAUGCAUGGCCGUUUUUAGUUCGUGAAUAUGAUUUGUCUGGUUAAUUCCGAUAACGAACGAGAUCUUAACCUGCUAAUUAGCGGCGAAUACGUUAUAUUCCUACUUGAAAUUGAAUAUAGCUGAAUUUGCUUAUUUUGAAGAAUAUAUUAGGAUGCAUUAUAGUGUCCUUUUCCCUUUUCUACUUAAUUCGCUAUUCAUGUUGUUUCUUUUUUGUGCAGGAAUGUAUUCGUUUGAUUGUAAAGCUUCUUAGAGGAACGAUGUGUGUAUAACACAAGGAAGUUUAAGGCAACAACAGGUCUGUGAUGUCCUUAGAUGAACUAGGCUGCACG
rnacentral:rRNA from 1 species